ensembl:lncRNA
AUGGACAGCCUAUCUGCAGAGAUUUGCUGGCUCAUUUUGAAGACCAAGAACAAACAGGGAAGUCUAGAGGCAGAACAUAGCCAGCUUCUUUGGAAAGUCUGCAGCCCUGAAGGAGCUCCUGUUGCCUUGCAUUUAUCUGGGAUGAUGCUUACUGCCACCAGCUAUCUACCCUGCUUGUCUCCCAGAGGUUACUACUGGCUGGAGUUUGCAGUAAUAUGCUGGUCUGUAAACCACAGUGCUCAGGAAGGAAUGUGCGUGCCCUUCAGCCACUCCUGUGUAGGUUACUAUGGACUCUGUAAGAGAGGUUAUAGAAGCUCAUUCCUAUGGAACCAGGCCACGUUUUGGUUUUCCUGAUAAUGUGCAUAUGAAUCCAGAAUAGCGUCACUCUGGUAGCAAGCAUUAUAUUGGCCUUAAAUCAGUGUAAAAUUAGAUGAGAGCUUGUGUGCUGGCUAUAUACUGAUGAAAUUGCAAAAUAACUUAUUGGAAAAGACAUCUGGAGAGAAGCUAGUCUAGCUUUUUCUCAAAGGUAGGCUCAUUGCCAUGCUCAGCUGAGUUUUGAAAGUGUCUAAAGAUGGAGAUUCUACAUCCUCUCACUUCCCGACCUUCACUUUAUCCACCCCUGUUGUGAAAUCAGUUUUCUUCAUCUAGUAAGAAUUUUCCUUGUUGCAUUUCGUGUCUGCUGUCUCUUGUCCUUCUGCUGUGUGCCUCUGAGAAGAGUAUCUUUUCUAUAACCCCCGUGCCAUCCGUGUUAGAUUCACCCAACUCCUUCAGAGGCUUCUCUUACGUAUUGUGCUCAAGCAUUCUGAACACCCAAGAGUCCUUCCACUGGGCUUCUGUCAGUUUGUUAGGAUCUCUUGCACUGGGACUUCCAAAGCUAUAUGCUGCUUCAGGUGUUACCUCACAAGUACUGAGUAGGGGGACAUAAUCACUUCCUUAGAUCUGCUGGCUGUAAUCUUGCUAAUGCAGCCCAGGAAUUAGCCUUUCAGGAGUGUAAUACUGACUCUCAUACAGCUUGAUUGCCACCAGGAAGCACAGGGAUUUUUCUGCUGAGCCAGACAGCAUUCAUUCUGUGUGCUGACUUACCAUUUAUCACUGUUGAGCUUUGAGGCUUGCAUCAGCCCAUUGCUCCAGUUUGCUUGAGUCCAUCAGAAAGACAGCCUCACCCUUUGGCAUGUUGACCAAUUCACCAUAUUUGGUGUCAUUUUUGAAGCUGGUGAGGGUGCAUUCCAUUGUCCAAGACAGCAGUGCAGUCAUUAAGACAAUAUUGUUUCCAGGACUAACCCCUGAAGAAUGUCGCUUCUAAUUGACUGCCAGCUAGGCUUGGAAAUGUUGACCACUGUUCUCUGAGAUUAAUCAUCUUGCCAGUUUUUCAUUCACCUGAUACUCCAACUCCAUCUCAUCCAAACCCUCUAGGUCUGACUGCUAUGGGAGGCCUGGUUAAAGAGCUUGUUGAAGCAAAUGACAUGCCACUUCUCUCCCUCCCAUCUACACAACCAUUGUGGAAGUGAGUUAGGUUGAGCAGACUCAAAAUGGCCUUGGUAAAUCCAUUCUGGCUGUUCUCAGUCACCAUUUUAUGCCCCACAAUGAUUUCUAGGAGGGUUUGUUCUAUAGUUUUCCCUGAGGCGAGCCAGAUUGCCCUAUAAUUAUUUGAGCACUCUUUCUCUCUGUUUUUGCAGAUGAUUGUGACAUUUGCCUCUUUUCUGUCACUAGGAAUCUCAACCAGAUUGCCAUAAUUUUUCAAAGGUGAUGGAGAAUAGGCUGGGGAUGACAUGGGACCUCUUCUCUGAUCGUGAAGAAAUGCAGCUGGGGCCGCGGACAUUCUUGUAUGUGUCCAGUUUGCAUCUGAGGUUCCUACUUUGAUCUUCCUCUGCUAUUGUAGGUAGAACUUCUCACCUGCCGCUAGGCACAGGAACUUAGGAAGCCUUUCAGUAAAGACCAAGGCAAAGAAGGUACUGAGUACAUCAUCCCUUUCCAAGUCCUGUGUCAGUAAGCUGCUCGUUAUAUCCUUGGGUCUUCCUUUGUUUUCUGAUGUGCACAUUGAAGCCCUUUUCUCAUCCCUCACCUGAUUUUGAACUUUCUGUAUACCUGGGCAAUGUCUCAGUAGUGAUACUUCUCCUGAUUACACCCUCCACACACCUCCAUUUUGAUGCAUCGUAAUCAGUUUUAAGAGCAUUACUGUUGUUAUGAAGCUUAUUUCAUACACAGUUUAUGAAGCUUACUUUAUACCCAGUUGUUUGUUCUGCUGCACUGCUCCCUCCAUGUCAGUUUGCAGAAGCAUUUCUUUAAGGGUAUAUUAUAUCUCUGAUCCACUGUGGUAGCAGUUUACUACAUCUGCAGUGCAAUAUAUUUUAUUGUGACUGGAAAAUAUUUGCUUUUCAUCCACUGGAGAAGGUGGAAAGCAUCUGUGAACUAGAACAUCAGUGUGGUUUGUUUUUCU